UCAGCCAGGAGGCCCGCGCACAGCUGAUUUUACGAGCGGAAAACAUCUCCGCGUGUAUGAGCUCGCCCGGGGCGUCUCUGCUCCACAGCGAGCGAGCGACCCCCCUCCCGCACGCCCUUCGCUUGGCGGGGCCCAGGGGCUGGAGGACGGGCUGGCUCUGGCUCCCGCCCCCGCCUCGCUGGAGAAGUUGGGGUGGUUUGGGCCAGCCCGGCCUGGGAACCGCCGGGGGGAUUCCCUAGCGACAGCGCCUCAUUGUAGGUGCAGAGGAGCCCAGUCAGCGCCGAAGCGCUUCACCCAGCCCAGGGACCGGCUCUCUCCGGGGGCGGCGGCGCCUCGGAGCGGAGGAGAAACCCGGCCUGCAGGGAGACGCGCUGCACUCGCGGGCCGGGGCGCGGCGGGCGAGAGGAGACGCGCCCUGGGCAGGGAGGGGAAGCGCCGGGCACCGCAGAGGCGCCCGGGCAGGGAGCGCGCCCCGGGGCCGGGCAGCAGGUGCCGGCAGAGGAGCAGCCUCCCUCCGGGGCUGCCAGCCGGGAAGGAGCCGCCCGCCAAGCUCCGCUGUCUCGCUGCCGGCGUUACCGGGCAGGGUCCCCGCCAGAGCGCUGCUGCCCGGCCAGGGCAUUGCGCGCCGCGCCGCGCCGGGCUGCUGCUAAGGCGGGAACUGCAACCCGGGGGCAGCCGGGACCAGCCGCGCUCUGCUGCGCGGAGCCCUGGCCCCUGUGGCUGCUCUCAGUGGGAAGGGGCCCGGCCCCACUUGCUUUACAGACACUCCCCGAGUAACGUGACGGGCUGCGGGGGAGAGCGCUGUCAUUACCCCACCUCCAGCUGGGGAAACUGAGGCACGGACUCUACUCCGAGUACAGGCCAGUCAGGCGCCCCCUGGCAAGCUGGCUGCCCCCUGACUUGACUGGCCAUGGCAGUGCAGGCUUAGGUAUCAGCCCCAGCAGCUAUUCUAACCGAGACCAGGGCCAGUGCCACCGACCUGCCUCCCUGACCUCAGACUCCUGGAGCUGGAGGGCUGGAAGCGAUGUUGAGGGCUCAUCCAGGCCUCCGGCUGCCAACUUUCCAGAGCCAAGCACCCCCACCCAAAGGCUCAACUCACCAUAAAGAGAAGAGGGAGGCUGAAGAGGGACGUGGCUCUCCUGCUCCUGCCAGCAGCAGCUCGAGGCAAAGAGUUCUCAGGGAGCUUCCUGCAGCCGUGGGAGGUUCCUGGAGGUCAUAUUUUCUAAACCUUCUAUCAUUUUUGCUGUUCUCCUCUGGGACACUCCAAUUUGUUCCUCUUUCUUGAAGCAUGGCAUCCAGAUACGGAGGAAAAAGAAGAGAACGUGGGAUGACAUGUUCCAGGAGAUCCUAUAAGCCAGUCCUGCAUCAGAGAACGAGACCAGAGCUUGGAGGAUCACCCUUGCAGACAGCCUGGAGAAGGAUAGAGUGGGGAGGAGAAAGGAGCAGGAAAAGGAGAAGGAUGUGUAGCAGGACAUGCUUUCACUUUUUCAGACAGAGAACAGAGAUGCUGCGGAUUUUGGUGGAUCUGCAGGUUCAACAAUCCUGUGUUCGCCUCCCUCUUCAGCCUAUAGAGAUCUCAAUAUUAGGACCUCUCUAUACCCCCGUCUACAUUCCAUGUAACCUCAGCGGUCAGAGCACCAUGCUUACCACUCCACCCAGAGAGACUUUAAAGACAAUCACAGCUUCACAUAUCGUGACCUGUGAAAGCCAUUGCUGAUGUAUGUGUACCUGAAAUGGAGUUUUUCUUUCCCUUUCAUAAGUUCUGUUCCCUUAAUUUAUCAAGUUUAAAAUGUUUUUUUUAAUUGCCUGGU